UUUGCAAUGGCUUCACCAACAGGCUGUUGUUGUUGAGCGUCACUUCACCGCUGGCAUGGGUGAUAAGGCCCUCUUCCAAGGGGAUAUCCAGAUGUAAGCGCCCACUAACUUUACCACCGACUUGCAGCUCUUCCAGCGUUUGCGCCACGGAAUCAUUCAGCGGUGUCUCCGUAAAGUAGUCAUGGACAUCGCGCCCUUCGCCAACCACUUCGGCGUCGACAUACAGCUUUUCUUUCAGAUAGUCGGGGAUAAUAGCGCUGAUAUUACUGCCGGUGACCUUUCCCAACAUCGCGUGAGGGGCAUCCAUCCACAAACCUUCGUUGAGGAAAUCAAGAUCAAUGGCUAAAUUCUCUAACGCAGGCCAAUCUGGUUGGAAUUGGAAGGUGGCGUUACGCAGUGGCA
rnacentral:ncRNA from 1 species